AUGCAUCUUGCUGGCACUGGCAGUUACAAGUGCAGCCCUUCAGACAGGAAUUGGGAGUGGGACAUGAGAUAUGGUGCUCUACCAAAAAGCUGUUCCCAAAGCCAGCAGGAGAGAAGAAACCACUGCCAACCUCUGUGAAGCACCUGCUUCCAACAGCAGCUCCACCGUGGGGAACAGCAAGCCUAGAAGAAGCAGUACACCCAAUUGCCCAACAGGGAAUUGCUGUGGAGAUGGAUGGAAUGACAUGACUAAGGUCACCCAAGGCCUGUGUCAGAGAAAGGAGCUGAACCUGGGGCUCUCCCAGCAGGACUGAGGAUUGCAAUGUAGGCUCUGGAUGUAAUUCAAGGAUUUCAUGGUUGAGAAAGGUCUCACUGCAAGUCUUGCCCUACCUCUGAAGCCAAUGAGAACAGCAAGUUUUAAGACUAAUUCUAGCAGGAGAUAACAGGACUACCGCCCAUGCCAGAGGUGGGUUUCAAAUGCUAUUGGUGUUGCACACAAUCCGAGGGAACUUCUGAUUCAGCCACUGUGGCUUUCCAGUGCUCCUGGUCUUGUUUCUGUCCAGUCCUCUGAAGCCCAGACAGUUUGAAAGGAGAUACCAACAUAGCCCUUUCAGAUGGCUGAAGUGCGCUUCUGAUUUA